UUCUCAUCAAAGUCUGUAUUUACCUGCCUACACAAGGGGCCCUCUUCCCCCAGAGGGACCCAGCAGGAGCAGGUGGGAAAUUCGGUGGUACACGCCGCCCAUUAAUUUCUCUCUUGAGAGAGUCCAGGCGAGGAAUCGCUAGGGUGUUGCCAUAAGAAAUUCAGUCCGCCUAGCGGGCAUGGGAGGCUUCACGGGCGGUUGGUCCCUAGUGCAAAACUUUCGCGCUAGGAGGCUUUUGAGUGCAAUAUACAGACCGCCUAGUGGUUCCUUGGGAUCAUCUGGGCGGAACGCGAUACCGAUUAUUUUGGUGAGAA
rnacentral:RNase_P_RNA from 14 species